rnacentral:rRNA from 1 species
CCUACGGGUGGCAGCAGUCGAGAAUCAUUCACAAUGGGGGAAACCCUGAUGGUGCGACGCCGCGUGGGGGAAUGAAGGUCUUCGGUUUGUAAACUCUUGUCAUGUGGGCGCAAAUUAAAAAGAUAGUACCACAAGAGGAAGAGACGGCUAACUCUGUGCCAGCAGCCGCGGUAAUACAGAGGUCUCAAGCGUUGUUCGGAAUCACUGGGCGUAAAGCGUGCGUAGGCUGUUUCGUAAGUCGUGUGUGAAAGGCGCGGGCUCAACCCGCGGACGGCACAUGAUACUGCGAGACUAGAGUAAUGGAGGGGGAACCGGAAUUCUCGGUGUAGCAGUGAAAUGCGUAGAUAUCGGGAGGAACACUCGUGGCGAAGGCGGGUUCCUGGACAUUAACUGACGCUGAGGCACGAAGGCCAGGGGAGCGAAAGGGAUUAGAUACCCCGGUAGUC